CAUCAUCCUUCCCACUGGGACCGUUGAAGCUGUAGGAGUUGCACCUGUUAUCAUAUCCAAACCCCCCGGUCGACGAAGAUGAGUACUCCGGGAAGGACCUGCACUUCUCCAUGUCAAGACCUGUCAAGAGUAAGCUGUUUCUGCACCCGCAAAGAGAGAGAGAGAGAGAGAGAGAGAGAGAGAGAGAGAGAGAGAGAUGCGAAUGAUGAGGGAGGAAGAGGUGAUGAGAGAUUAAAUUGGGAGGAGGGAGGGGCAAAAAGAUGGGGUCAGAGGUGGAGUAGGGAGAAU
rnacentral:lncRNA from 1 species